rnacentral:ncRNA from 18 species
UGGAAACGAUGCGACUGGCGGCACCGAGGAUGGAACGACCAUCGGGGAGCUCGUCGCGGAGGGUCGACCGCCUGGGCCUUUCCG